rnacentral:lncRNA from 1 species
UUUCUUAUAUGACAUAUCAAAGAACAAACAUCAUUGUGCAAGAUGGUUUAGCUGCUAUUACUAGUGCAUUGGCAAAGAUUAGAGAGACUGUGAAGUAUCUCAAAGGUUCAAAAUCUAGACGUAUUGCACUUGGAGAAUGCGUGGAGAGUGAUGGUGAAGUCCUUUUUCUUUAGAUGUCCAGCAUAGAUGGAAUUCUACUUAAUUGAUGAUUGAGAAGGCUUUAAAGUAUGAUUGUGCUCUAAAUAGGUUUAAAGUGGUUGACAAAAAAUAUAAAUAUUUUCCCUCAGCUCAAGAUUGGAAGAGAGCAAAGUUGAUUCAUGAGAUUUUGAUGCCUUUCUAUAAAAUUACAACUUUAAUGUCUAGAAGAAGGUAUUCUACAUCUAACUUGUACUUUGGGCAUAUAUGGAAGAUUCAAUGUUUGCUGGAAGUGAAUAGGGACCAUGUAGACAACGUGAUCAGAGAGAUGGUUUAUGAGCUGAGAUUAAAAUAUGAUAAAUAUUUGGAGCAAUACAAUGUUGUUCUUGCAAUGGGAGCAGUUCUAGAUCCUCGGAUGAAAUUCAAACUUUUAAAGCGGUGUUAUGACGAACUUGAUCUAUUUACUUCACAAGCAAAAAUAAAUCAUCUCAAGAGUGAGCUCUAUAAGCUCUUUGAAGAAUAUCGGAAAAAGUUUCCUUUGACUCCGGUUGGAAGCUGUACGAGGGAAGUUUCUUGUGUUCCUACUCGAGGCAGAGGGAAUUUAGACGUACAAGAUGUAAAUUUAUAUACUUGCAACUUAAGAACUCUGAACUUAUGGGCUGUUUUAAGUUUCUGCCAUGUUUAAAAUCUAGUGAUACAGGAUUUUUUGACUUGGAUGAUGUCCUAGAUUAUAUGGAAGAAGGAAAGUCAGCUUUAGAUAUGUACUUAGAAGAUCCAAAGUUAGACAUGAAAAGUUAUCCUAAUCUCAAUGUUUUGCGUUAUUGGAGAGAGAAUCAACAUCGAUUUGCCGCGCUAACUUACAUGGCGAUGGAUAUACUCAGUAUUCCCAUAACUACGGUAGCUUCCGAAUCUUCUUUCAACAUUGGAUAACAUAUUAUUAACAGUAUCGGACUCGGCUUCUUCCAACCAAUGUCUAAGCCUUAUUAUGUACUUGGUCUUGGAUACAUGGUUACAAAAUUGAUGAUGAAGGUAAGAAAAUACUAACGGGUAUCAAUUUGCUUUAAUUAGAUCAGUUUACAAUACUAAUAUUUUUCUCUUAUGAAUUCUAGAUAACAAUGGUGAGGUGAUUAUUAUUCGCUCAGAUUCAGAUAAUGUGGAAGAACAUUCUACAGUUACUUAAAGCACCAUCAUUCACAGGUUUUAACUCAGCUUUUUUUUCUCCAGAUUCUAUUUUGUAUAAAGAUUGUUUGUUUACCUCUGGUGUGAUUAGUAUAUGUAUUCUUGCUUGGUUGUGGAUUUGGCUUUGUUUACCUCUGGUGUGAUUAGUAUAUGUAUUGAGCAAGCAAGAUUUGAUCUCUCCCCUCUGUUUCCUUGUAAGCUUUCUCUCUCCUUCAAUAUAUGUGUACACGUGAUGACCAUAAUUGAUUUCGGUGACUUUUGGAUAGGUUUUAGUUAGUUAGAUUACAAAUAUAACUAUUCUCGUUGAUAAUCAUCUUGUAAUCAACGAGAUGAUUUAGGUGAGAUGAUUAAGACUAUUGAUUUUCUUUUUAUGGCUUUGACUUUGACAUUCUUGUUGUUGUGGAUGUGUUUUGUGACUUAGAGCUUGUGAGAAGAUGAUUGAGUUUAGUUGUCUAAUCAAUUUCUAACCAUCGACGUGUUUGGUUUUGCAGCUUGCUUCAUUGGAAAGUCAAUAUAGUUCAAAUGGUUUUCUUUAUUGCUUCAUUGGAAAGUCAAUACAGUUCAAAAUCUAUAUAUUAGGGUUUAUAAGUUUUCACUAUAUGAUUACUGAUUCGGUAUAAGUACUUUUGAUGUGUUUUCUUAUUUGACUAUUAGACAAUUGAGUUUAAAAUAUGACAAUAACUACUUGUGUUUAGUUGUAAAUAGGUCAACUCAUUAAACCCAUUAAUCGAUUUGCUAAAUGAGUUGGUUUGACCCAUUAACAUUUAAUACUGAAUCUAUAUGAAUAUGGGAUGGUUUGGUUUGGUUUAACCAACUUGACACCCCUACAUGCAUGCAACGUACACAAAAGUUUUCAAGCAUCAAGCGUUUAUAUUAUCAUCAAAUAUGACAAACGGAUCUCGUAUAAAAACAUAAUUAUUUUGCAUAUCAAAUAUGAACAAUAAAUUAGGCUUAGUUCAAGCUUAUACACGUAGGCUCUGAUACCAUUAUUGGCAUUUGUACCGGUUUAUAAAGAUUUAUAAAACAAAUUACAAAUUCAAUUGCCAGGAUUCAUGUAAAUAUUGAACAAAAUCUAUGUCAUCAGAUUAUGAAUAUACCUUGGUAGUUUGCAGCGGAAUGAUGAACUAAAAUAACUGAGGUCGUAAAGAACUCCAAACGUCUUGCCUCUACUGGUAUCCAUACGCACACAGACUGGAUCACACGGGAUGCUAGGACCGUAGAGAGACGAGCUCAAGAACGAAAUAGACUUCUUUGUCUAAUAUUAGGGGGGUAUACUGAACUUGACAUUUUAGGAGAUUUGAUGGGGUUUAAAAUUUUUAGAAUUUUGAAAGAUUUGAAAGCUAUUUUAGAAGAUUUUGUUAUUUGUUAGAGAUUUUUAUUAAAAAGAAGAAAAUGAUAUGGGAUUUGGUGAGAUUUUAAUUAAUAAGUUUUGGGUGAUUGUAGGAUACUUUAGAACCAACAUGAAAAGAAAAUUUUGUUUCCAAAGAUCCCAACCCAGGUCCCGAUCAAAUUAUUAAACUUUAAUAGGCUUACACAACACCAAUGCUCUACUAUGUAUCGUACAUUGUCGUUUUAUUAACCUAUAGAGAGCUAUAGUUAUACUCAUUACUAAAUCAUAAAUGGCGACACGAGUCGACGAAACCCAUGUCGAGUUCUGUUCUAAGUAUAGAAAUUGGGAACAAGAGAGAUGGGUCUUUGAAGCCACUGUGUAAGAAAGAAGUUCUGUUGGUUAAUUAAAUUGUUGAAAAACCUUUGCCUAGAGUGGUUAGGGGUAUAUUAGUGGAGUAUGUUCAGAAUGUGAAGCCUGAGUUCAUGGAGAUGUUUGUUAAACGUGGCCCUAAACCUGUAACUUUCUCUGCUUCAUUCUCUUAAAAGACCCAUUUUUUUUUGUAAAACGUGUUAAAGCUUUUGAUUGAUUCUGUGUUUUUUCUUUGGUAAUUGGAAAUGUUGAUAAGGUGGUAGAUGCAAUGAGACAUAGAAAUCCUCUACAAUCAUAUUCAAUAGAGUUUUUUAAACAAUUACGAUAUUUUCAAUAACAAUAGAUUUGAAGUGAGAUUUACAAAUUGGUAAUUGAGUAACAAGAGAUUUUGAAAUAUUUUAAAUGAUUUUACAUAAAUUCCAUGUUCAAAAACCAAAGAUUUCAUAAUAUUUUUAAAAAUCCUAAUUUCAAUAACAAGUGAUUUUAAAAUUACACCAAAAUCUUCUAAAAUAUCAUGUUCAAUACCCCACUCUUGGGGAUCGGCGGUGUGUAUGUUGUCAUUAACGUGACUCAUAACUAUAUAUAUUAGUCAACGUUAAUCUAGUUACUAAUGGGCCAUAAGCCCAACUAAAUUUUGAAGUACACUUUGUUGUAUCCAUAUGUGUAUCUUAUACAACAUACAUAUAUCUUAUAUAAUAAACAUUUUAUUAUAAAUAUAUAUGUAUAUCUCAUAUAACAUAUAUAUUAUAUUAUAUAACCCAACCAUAAUCCAGUCUGCUUAGGUCUGUGACCAUGUAGGAUCGUAUAAUAUUAUCAAUGAACUUCUAAAGUCAUUGAUUAUAAGAGGUUUCUAGCAAAACAUUAUAAUCACAUACUAUUAUUUGAUACAACUUAAACUAGAGUAAGUACAAAUGAUUUCAGAACAUUCCCAACACAAACCAAUCUAACCGGUCCAUACGCCAAAACAGUUUACAUGGAGCAUUUUGGAGAAUUAUUGGUCUCAAAGGUCCUGAAAGAACUCCAUAAUUAAGCGUGCUUAUGUAGUUUUCGGAUGGGUGACCUUCUGGGAAAUGGUUGUCAGAAUAAUAUGAGUGAGGUCAAAACAUAGGGAAAUAUCAUAUGGUGAUUUGUAGGGUCGGUAAACAAGUCUUUAAGUCUCCCAGACGUAGCAAACCGGCCGUCGGAUAUGGAUGGGCUCAUGGGUCUAGUGAAAGGACGUGAUUCCCAUUAAGAGAGGUGGGGGCAUGGAUUACGAGUGAACAUGUGUCCCAUUGGACAGGUGACGGUCGGGUGUUACAAGUGGCAUCAAAGCUGAACCCAGACGUGUGUGGAAUAAGGGGCUACACCUUCAGGGGGUGACGGUCCUGGUGUGCAACGAGGUGUUUUGGUCUGUUAGUGGAGGAUAAUUGUGAGACCCCAGUUUGCGGAGAGGUUUAAAUGAAUUGAUUUGGCCAAAAGUCACAAAAGUGCACUUAUGUUUUUGGUCAAAGGUCAUAAGAGAACUCCACAGUUAAGUGUGUUUAUGCUAGAGUAGUCAAAUGAUGGGUUGUUGGAUAAGCUCCAUAGCUUGAAGCCCAAGAUAUCAUUAACUAGUUGGUUAAUGGCAAGAUAAGCUUAAUGGAAAUUAUCUAAUUAUGUUAGGAAUAGAAAAGAGGAGUUUUCUAUUUAUAUGAGGAUUAGGAAUUUUAAUUCUUGUUCUAUAAAUAUGAUUGUUGAGUUGUGACAAUCAUCAAAAAAAGCAAAAGAGCUUUGUGUUUAGUUUUUAGAGCUAUAUUUUCUAAACACAUAUUGAGAGAGAUAUUUUUAAUAAAGAGCUCAGUUUGCUUUAAGAGUCUUUAUUUGGUAUCAGAAAUGAAGGUAUAAUCGAUCCUUGAGCAAAUCGAAAGAGAGAAGAAUCAUCGUCCAAGCCAUGGCCGAUGAUGAUGCUAUUGUCCCGGUCAACACCAAACGCAAGGAGAGCGUUCCUUCAUCAAUUCAAUGUCCCAUGCUGAUGCGGACAUCAGAACUAGAUCAGACCAAGAGCACACCAAACCGGUCUACAUGGAGAAUUUUGGAGAAUCUUUGUCUAAGUAGAGUUCUGAUCAAGUACAAGGUGAAGUGUUAAUUAUUCACCAUGAUAUUAACCCUAAAAAGUCCGACAGUUCAAGAGGGAUCAAAAAUCAGCAAGUCAAAUCACCUUACUAUUGGGAUAUGACUGUUGCACUCUUUUUCCCUUAUCUAGGGUUUGUCCCAAUGGGUUUACCUAUAAAGGUUUUAAUGAGGCAACAUCAAGUCAUCAAGGAAUCAUUCACCAUCCAUAUGAUUCAAAGAUGAUAGCUGAUGUACAUUCUGAUAUACUCACGGACAAGCAUGCUGAACUAUUCGCUGACAAGCAUGCUGAACUACUCGCUGACCGACUACCUGAACUACUCGCUGACCGACUGCCUGAACUACAUCAGAUUGCGGGCUGUGAGGAUUUGAAGUCUUUUAACACUUGGAUCAGCCAUGAAGGUAGCCUACACAGUCAUCUGAUUCACUACAAGGCCCCAGUCCAUGGAGAACAUCCCAAGAGAAGACCCAAGUCCAAACCACCAUUUGAAUCAAGGUCGUUGAUCUACUUAGAGCGAUAUAAGGAAACUCUCCUUUACUUUCAUGAAGACGUGUUCCAAAGCUGCAUAUGGAAACUAAGAGAACUUGUAGGCCACACAAGACUUGUCCCACACGAUCUUUGGUACACCUUACCACACAAGAAGCCGAUGAGUCACUACUUGCCAUACAUGGAGCAAAAGGAGAUCAAGCUGCAACGACUCCUUCCUUAUUCACUUAUGCACGUCUUCAAAGCUUCUUACAAUGAACCUAGACACCACAAGGAGUCAUGGAUUCUCACCCAAGCUUUCAAGACUCAAGGCAUCUCUCUACUUGCCUUAUUUUUCCGAUUUGGUUCAUAAAGUCCCAACGGCAAGUGUAAUUAAUUUUGAGCGAUUUGUUUCUUGUUUUACAUUAUUAGGACGUGUAUCUGAGCCUAUAUAAGCUCAUUAGAUUGUUCAUUUGUAAUUACCCUUGAUCAAUUUAAAGUAAAAGAAGUUUUCUUCUUGUUUAAGUUUGAGUCUUUGUCAAUCUUGUUCUUUAGUUCUUUAUGAGUGAGUCACUUUGUGCUUUAGAAACCUGCGGAUUAAGUUUAUUGAGUGAUUCAACAACCUUCAUUCGUCCAUUGAUCGAGUGAGUCGAUUACCCCACUGAUUGAGCGAGUCAAUCACAUGUACUAUCCCCUGUACCACCCAUUGAUUCACGAGAGAGUGCUUCGGGCCAGCUCGUGAAUUCCACCUUCCGCAAGCUAAGCUUGGAAUCUCUUGAUUCAUGGAGAAGAUCUCUAUCAAGUCACGUCAGAUGAGGAAGACAACUAUGGAACGGUCUCGUGGCAAAGAGAUGAUAGUUCAGCUUCUGAUUCAAGAGAUGAACCAGACCAUGAAGCACCAGAACCAGAACCGCCUGACUCAUACAACACCCAUAAAGGAAAAGAUGAUUAUCUUAAGCGAAAAGAAGACAUGGAGUAUAAAAAGGCAACAACAAAGGGCAACCAGUAUCGACGUCCUCCAAGGCGUGAAGAGAAGACCGACCAUCACCUCUUAUUACACCGAGUCCCUACAGCCUCACGUCAAACAAAAUCAAAAGACAAGUACUUCUGUACAAACCCACGAGUAGUACAGGAAGUGAGUCAACGAUCAUCAAUUCGUUUUGAACCACAUCCAAGUGGUAGACGUGAUCCCCUAGCUGAGAGAGACGCAAGGACCAGUAAACUAAGAGGAGGCGAGCUAAAAUAUGGUGCUAAAAGAGACCCGUUGCUAUCCAAUCCCAACCGAAUCCACAAGAAAAAAUUCAGGUUAUCUCUAGACAAUGGUUAUGAGUAUUUUGGACCUGAAUGUUUUG